ACGUCAGUAGCUCGGUGGUUGAAGCACUGGCAUAUAUAGCCAACGUCCUUGGUUCAAUCCCAAGCUGGGUCA